UUCCCUUUUAAAUGUAGUUCAGUGAGACUGCUAAGGGGCUUAUGAUAAUAGAACAGGUGGAGUUCGUCUGUUUUGUUAUACUAAAAAAGCUCUUUAUGCGCUCCUGGCAUAAAGAGCUUUUUUAU
rfam:Bacillus koreensis strain DSM 16467 scaffold13, whole genome shotgun sequence.